rnacentral:rRNA from 1 species
AGUACGGCGAGUGAAGCGGUAAAAGCUCAAAUUUGAAAUCUGGUACUUUCAGUGCCCGAGUUGUAAUUUGUAGAAUUUGUCUUUGAUUAGGUCCUUGUCUAUGUUCCUUGGAACAGGACGUCAUAGAGGGUGAGAAUCCCGUUUGGCGAGGAUACCUUUUCUCUGUAAGACUUUUUCGAAGAGUCGAGUUGUUUGGGAAUGCAGCUCAAAGUGGGUGGUAAAUUCCAUCUAAAGCUAAAUAUUGGCGAGAGACCGAUAGCGAACAAGUACAGUGAUGGAAAGAUGAAAAGAACUUUGAAAAGAGAGUGAAAAAGUACGUGAAAUUGUUGAAAGGGAAGGGCAUUUGAUCAGACAUGGUGUUUUUUGCAUGCACUCGCCUCUCGUGGGCUUGGGCCUCUCAAAAAUUUCACUGGGCCAACAUCAAUUCUGGCAGCAGGAUAAAUCAUUAAGAAUGUAGCUACUUCGGUAGUGUUAUAGCUUUUUGGAAUACUGUUAGCCGGGAUUGAGGACUGCGCUUCGGCAAGGAUGUUGGCAUAAUGGUUAAAUGCCGCCCGUCUUGAACCA